rnacentral:rRNA from 1 species
UACGUAGGGGGCUAGCGUUGUCCGGAAUCAUUGGGCGUAAAGAGCGCGUAGGCGGCCAGAUAAGUCCGGUGUGAAAGUCAAAGGCUCAACCUUUGAAUGCCGCUGGAAACUGUCUGGCUAGAGUCCGGAAGGGGCGAGUGGAAUUCCUGGUGUAGCGGUGGAAUGCGCAGAUAUCAGGAGGAACACCUAUUGCGAAGGCAGCUCGCUGGGACGUAACUGACGCUGAGACGCGAAAGCGUGGGGAGCAAACAGG